rnacentral:misc_RNA from 1 species
CACGUUGGACAGAGUCACAUAUGGAAAGUGUACAUAUAUAUGUGAGUGUACGGUAGGGGAAAACUAUCCUUGUGACAUGAGGGGAAAAUAUCAUUGCCUAAAAAAUAGAAAUAAAUAAACAAACAAUAGUCCUAGAGUUUAUCCCUUAGAAGCAAGAAAGAAAACAAGAGCACAUUUAGUAUGUAAAGUGAGUGAGUGAACAAGGGAGCAUUAUAGUGAGUGAUUUGAUCAAAAAACCCCUAUUAUGUGGCUCAAAUGACACAAAUCAAGUGGUUCGUCAGUGGUAUAAUAUAAAACAUCAAUAAUAAGACAUGAAUCAUCGUCCUUUGGCCUAAGACUCAAAGGCCGCAUUGUCCCUUUAAGAUCAACAUCGUCAUCAUUCAAAAAGUAAAUAGUACAUCAACAUGGCAGCUGCCAUAGGUAUCGCCAAAACAGCCACAGAGAUUUUCCUCGGAGUUGGAGAGGUCUCCAUUGAUAAUUUCACAUUUAAGCUCUAUUACAAAUGGACUGUGACCAUGUUCAUCGUUUCCUCUGUUCUUGUCUCCACCUCCCAGUUCUUCGGAGAGCCUAUUCAAUGCGAAACGGCUGAAGACAGUAUAGAUGAUGAUGUUCUGAACGCGUUUUGUUGGAUGUAUUCGAGUUUUGACAUGCCGAGCUCAUACACUGGAUCAUGUGCAAGGAAGCGUGUCGAUUCUACUCAUCUAUAUAAUACAUACUACCAAUGGGUCUCAAUUUUCCUCGUGGCGCAAGCAAUGUUAUUUUAUAUUCCUCGAUGCAUUUGGAUCUUGCAGGAAGGAGGACUCAUGGGUUAUUUAGUCAAAGGGACGACUGGGCGAGUUGUUGAAAACGCGGAUGAAAAGAAAGGAAAUCUCCUACGAAACUUUCAAAUCCAUAUUCAUAACAAAUUCAGUGCCUAUGCCUUUUGCUUCUUUUUCUGUGAACUACUCAAUGUGAUCCUUGUAAUAUUUGCCAUUUUCAUUACGCACAAGUUUUUGAACAAUCAGUUCCUUACCUAUGGGUUGGAUGUGUAUCUUUAUUUUUCCUUGCCUCCAGAGGAGCGUAUCCGUCAAGAAACAGUCAAUCCAAUGUGUGAAGUAUUUCCUAAAAUCGCUGCAUGUGAUUUCCAUCGAUAUGGAAUGGGUGGUGGUAUGGACAACCGCUUUGGCAUAUGCGUCUUAGGUCUUAACAUGAUCAACGAUAAAGUAUUUGUCUUUAUCUGGUACUGGUAUUGUCUUUUGAUCAUUCUCGGCGUGAUAAGAAUAAUCAGUCGUACCUCUCAAAUUGCUUCCUCCAAAGUUCGCUACUUUCUUAUGAAAAUCAAGAUGAACGCAUAUUUUGGGAAGCACAAUCAUCACAUGCGGCAUAUUCAGCACUAUGUGCUCAACUGCUCAAUCGGUGACUGGUUUGUAUUGUAUCAAAUGAGCAAGAAUCUGAACAAGCGAUUCUUUGCGGAGUUCAUAGCUCUUACAGCCAUGAUUGUCAACCCGGAUCCAAACAUUGCGCCAGAAGAGCCGGAAAUUUUUUUUAGUGACGAAGAGAUCUUCCGAAUUAAAAAUUUUUCUUCUACUGAGGUCUCCAAGGACUCUGACACAAAGAAUGGUGAUGAAGAAGAGGAAGGAGCAGAAGAAGAAGAAGAAGAAAGUUCGAAACCCUCUAAUCCUUUUGCAAAAGUUGAAGGGGAUAUUGAAGAAGCCUCUGGAGCCUCUUGUCUAACUGGAAAGCAGAGAAUGUUAAUUAAGAACGGUAAAGGGGCCAUCAGUGCGAAGCAUAAAGCCAUGGUGGCCAAUGCACAAGUCAGAAGAUUAAAACGAAGAUAGUUACAUUUAUACAUUUCCUACAAGAACUACGGCUGUGAUUCUGUUAUAAAAUGCAUACAUACACAUACAUUGAAAACUCCUUCAAACCGUAACAAAUGACUUUGUGAAGGUCAACAAAUUGUUUAAGACAUCUUAGCCACAUUCCAAAAUCAACCUAUAUUACUAUAAUUAGUUACCUUAUUAUUCAACAUAUCAUAAUAAUUUAUUGUAUACCCCAUAAAAAAAAGAUUUACUCAUCAAAAGUUUUAUUAUCAUUAAAAAACUAAUCAUGAAUAUUUUUCUGUGUGUAAAUGAGUAUAGCACCAUUUGCAAAAAAGAUUUAUAUGCUAUAAGACCACAAUGAAUAAUAAAUCACGAAUAAUUGUAACUUUAAAUCAUAAUUAUAUUAAAACGUGGUCCGUAAAUCAGUUCCAAAUAAAUGUAUUUCUUUA